AACGAACGCUGGCGGCAUGCCUAACACAUGCAAGUCGAACGAGAUCUUCGGGUCUAGUGGCGCACGGGUGCGUAACGCGUGGGAAUCUGCCCUUUGGUUCGGAAUAACAGUUGGAAACGACUGCUAAUACCGGAUGAUGACGAAAGUCCAAAGAUUUAUCGCCAGAGGAUGAGCCCGCGUAGGAUUAGCUAGUUGGUGUGGUAAAGGCGCACCAAGGCGACGAUACUUAGCUGGUCUGAGAGGAUGAACAGCCACACUGGGACUGAGACACGGCCCAGACCCCUACGGGAGGCAGCAGUGGGGAAUAUUGGACAAUGGGCGAAAGCCUGAUCCAGCAAUGCCGCGUGAGUGAUGAAGGCCUUAGGGUUGUAAAGCUCUUUUACCCGGGAUGAUAAUGACAGUACCGGGAGAAUAAGCUCCGGCUAACUCCGUGCCAGCCGCCGCAGUAA
rnacentral:rRNA from 1 species